rnacentral:misc_RNA from 1 species
AACGCACGAGACCUGCGGACCUGCGGAAGGAUCAUUAAUGAGAAACUGCCCCUCGCGGGUAGAUCUCCCACCCUUUGUAAACUUACCUUUGUUGCUUUGGCAGGCCCGUCUCCGGACCGCCGGCUUCGGCUGGCCAGUGCCUGCCAGAGGAUUCUAAAACUCUGUCUGUCAGUGUUGUCUGAGUCUAUAUACAAUCGUUAAAACUUUCAACAACGGAUCUCUAGAUCGGAAGAGACACGU